GGAUUUUAUAUUUUUUUUAUAUCCUACACCACUACUGUGGUGCAGGGUAUUAUAACUUAGUGAAUUAGUUUGUAACACACAAAGGGAAGAGAGAUAGACCGAUUGUGCACUAUGGACAUACACCUAAGCCAGUAAUCGGUUUAAAGUAACCUCGAAAGAGGUCAGGAAUUCCGUGCUACUUACAGAAUCCCUAAUUUUUUUCCAUACCACGCCCUUAAGUUGGUUCAUGUGUGAUAUUGUGUCCCCACCCAAGUGCUGGUGUCUGUUAGCCGCAAAAGACGGGCAACUUUUUACGUAGGAAGAGCUCCAACGUCUGAUAAUCUUCCUCAUAUGCCCUGCAUGUGCUAUUUCUUGCCGCACCGAUUUUACAUAAUAAUAGUCUCGUCUUCUUACGAUCCCAAUCUCCCCAUAUGAUUUUCGUCGUCCUACCUACCAUUUCGCCGUUCCGCAGUGUCACAGACGUGUUCGUAGCCCACGCCAUUAACCCAUUUUAGACUAAUACCCCUUCUUGUGGUGCAAUCUCUUUGAAACUUUGCGUACUCGUAUAAGAAGCUUUCGGUUUCAUGAAGAAUAAAAGGUACACUCGAUGUUUUUAUGUAGUAGUAUUAAUAUAAUGACAUCUCAUUUUUCAUCAAGAUAUAAAGGUUUUAAAAAGGUGA